UACAGAGGGUGCAAGCGUUAAUCGGAAUUACUGGGCGUAAAGCGUGCGUAGACGGUUGCGUAAGUCAGAUGUGAAAGCCCCGGGCUCAACCUGGGAAUUGCAUUUGAGACUGCGUAGCUAGGGUGCGGAAGAGGGAAGCGGAAUUUCCGGGUGUAGCGGUGAAAUGCGUAGAUAUCGGAAGGAACACCAGUGGCGAAAGCGGCUUCCUGGUCCAGCACCGGACGUCGAGCACGAAAGCGUGGGGAGCAAACAGGG
rnacentral:rRNA from 1 species